rnacentral:rRNA from 1 species
AUGGCGCUGUCGGUGCACGCCGCCGCCGUCGCCGCCCCGCGUCUCCUCCCCCCUCCCUCGCUCCACCGCUCUGCUCCGAGCACGGCGCCUCCUCUCCUCCCCCUCCUCCGCGCCGUCGCCUCCCUCCGCUCGGGCCCCAGCUCCUCCCGGUGGACGCGGCGGGCGAGCGUGCGGGUGCGCGCAGGCGCCGGCGGCGGAGGGCGGAGGAGGGAGUCCCCGUACGAGGUGCUCGGCGUGGCGCCGUCGGCCGCGCCCGCCGACAUCAAGCGCGCGUACCGGCGCCUCGCGCUCAAGUACCACCCGGACGUCAACAAGGAGGCGAAUGCUCAGGAGAAGUUUCUGAGGAUCAAGCACGCCUACAACACGCUGAUGAACUCGGAGAGCCGAUCCAAGUACGCGAGCAGCAGCAGCAGCAGCCCUGAUUCUUCGUGGUCUCCCGGGAGCAGCAAGCCAGCUGAUGCAGAAGAGGAUUUCUAUGGGUUUGGGGAUUUCCUUAAAGACCUGCAAACAGAAUUUCAGAACUGGGAGGCUGGCCUGAACUCAGAGCAGAAACCUAACAGCCUGUGGGAAGAACUGUCAGCGAUUGGUGAGGAGUUUGUUGAGUUCCUGGAGAACGAACUGAACAUCGACGGCUCGAGCACCGAGGAAGACGACGCGAACGAUCCGUACACGCAGUUUGGAGGGAAAGGCGGAAAUGCCCAGGGUGACAAGAAAGGAACAAACAGCUCCGACGAUGGCGUGUCCGACAUAGAGUCCGUCCUCGAGCAGCUGAAGAAGGAGCUUGGGCUCAGCUGA